GGGCAUGUAGCGCAGUUGGUAGCGCGCUCGCUUAGCAUCAAUUAGUGUGUGCGAGAGGUCCUCGAUUCGAAUUCGGGCUUGUCCA